UACGUAGGGUGCAGGCGUUAAUCGGAAUUACUGGGCGUAAAGCGUGCGCAGGCGGUGAUGUAAGACCGAUGUGAAAUCCCCGGGCUUAACCUGGGAACUGCAUUGGUGACUGCAUUGCUGGAGUAUGGCAGAGGGGGGUGGAAUUCCACGUGUAGCAGUGAAAUGCGUAGAGAUGUGGAGGAACACCGAUGGCGAAGGCAGCCCCCUGGGCCAAUACUGACGCUCAUGCACGAAAGCGUGGGGAGCAAACAGG
rnacentral:rRNA from 1 species